UGAGAAACUAGAUCUAAACACUAGAUUAACAAACAUUAUUACAAUAUGUAAAAGAUGACAAAAUGCAAACACACUAACCAUUUCUGGUGAAGUCUGGUUUAUUGUCAGGUUUCACACGUUAGCAGUCGUCGGGUGGUUUGGCAUGAGGUGAGGAGGAGCAGGACAGACGGUCUAUUAUUGACUCUCGGUCAGACACAAGCUUCUCCAGUCCGUGUCUGUGGUCGUGAUGGAGGUAGAGCGUCCAGCGUCCAGCAUCAACGGCCUCCAGCAGCACACAGAGAUCUCUGCUGAAUCUGAGGCUCCUCGCCGCAGCGAUGUCAAAGUCUACAAGGAGUUCUGUGACUUCUACGUGCGAUCCAACAUGACGAACGCUUUGGCCCACGCGGUGUGUGAGUGCUGUAAGAGCGGCUUCACGCCGACGGAGAAGAUGGUGAACAGUAACGGAGAGCUGUACCACGAGCAGUGCUUCGUCUGCGCCCAGUGCUUCCAGCAGUUCCUGCACGGCCUCUUCUACGAGUUUGAAGGCAGAAAAUACUGCGAGCAUGACUUCCAGAUGCUGUUCGCUCCCUGCUGUCAUCAGUGUGGCGAGUUCAUCAUUGGCCGUGUGAUAAAGGCCAUGAACCUCAGCUGGCACCCCGAGUGUUUCUGCUGUGAUCUCUGUCAGGCCGUUCUCGCCGACGUGGGCUUUGUGAAGAACGCAGACAGACAUUUGUGCCGUCCGUGUCAUGACCGUGAGAAGGCUCAUGGUCUGGGGAAGUACAUCUGCCAGAAAUGUCAGGCCAUCGUUGAAGACAUUCCUCUGAUUUUCAAGAACGAUCCGUACCAUCCUGACCACUUCAGCUGCAAUAACUGCGGUAAGGAGCUGACGGCGGACGCCAGGGAGCUCAAAGGCGAGCUGUACUGUCUGCCGUGUCAUGAUAAGCUGGGCGUGCCGAUCUGCGGCGCCUGCAGGAGACCCAUCGAGGGCCGUGUGGUCAACGCCAUGGGCAAACAGUGGCACGUGGAGCAUUUUGUGUGUGCUAAAUGUGAGAAAGCGUUUCUCGGUCACCGGCACUAUGAGCGCAAGGGCUUGGCGUACUGUGAGACUCACUACAACCAGCUCUUCGGAGACGUCUGUUACCACUGCAACCGCGUCAUUGAGGGAGACGGGAUAAGUUUGUGGAGAUGGAUCUGAAGCCCGUGUGUAAGCGCUGCUAUGAGAGAGUGCCAGACGAGCUCAAGAGACGCUUGUCCAGGCGUGAACAAGACAACAAGGACAAGAAGAAGAAGAUGCCCAUCUGUCUGUGAUGAUACCUGCCAUCACAACACUUCAGCGGAGAGAAACGUGAGACUUCACUGCCGAACGGACUCGAGCAUCUGAUACACUCACUGGCUACACAGUGUUCAUGUGUGGUGGAUUUCAUCUUGUUUGUGUAGAAUCUGUUUUGAGCCUCAUCACAGCUGAGAUUGAGAUUCAUUGUAGUACAGUCACUUCAGAGGUGUGUUCAUGAACAUGAGGAUAUAUGCAGUCCUAUGUUCUGUUGUGCUGUUUAAUUCCUCUUGAUUCUGCUGAAUUGUAUUUUAUGUGUGGAUGUUUAUAUUGUUCAGCUGCAAAAACACAAUAAAAUGCUUUACUGUAACAA